AUAGGCCGGGAUUAGUUCAGCAAAGAGUCUGAGGGAGGAAUGUUUUUGCGGCUGGUGAUAAUGCCAGAUGAUUCUGUUCUCCUUUUCCCUCCAACAGGGAGCUGUUCAGAACCCCCUCCGGUGAACAAUAGUGUGUUUGUUGGAAAGGAAACUGAAGAACAGAUUCUGGGAAUUUACCUUUGUAUCAAAGGCUACCACUUGGUGGGAAAGAAGUCUUUGGUCUUUGAUCCCUCGAAGGAAUGGAAUGCGACCCUCCCUGAGUGCCUCC
rnacentral:lncRNA from 1 species